rnacentral:rRNA from 1 species
GACGAACGCUGGCGGCGUGCUUAACACAUGCAAGUCGAACGGAAAGGCCCUGCUUUUGUGGGGUGCUCGAGUGGCGAACGGGUGAGUAACACGUGAGUAACCUGCCCUUGACUUUGGGAUAACUUCAGGAAACUGGGGCUAAUACCGGAUAGGAGCUCCUGCUGCAUGGUGGGGGUUGGAAAGUUUCGGCGGUUGGGGAUGGACUCGCGGCUUAUCAGCUUGUUGGUGGGGUAGUGGCUUACCAAGGCUUUGACGGGUAGCCGGCCUGAGAGGGUGACCGGGCACAAUGGGACUGAGAUACGGCCCAGACUCCUACGUGAGGCAGCAGUGGGGAAUAUUGCACAAUGGGCGGAAGCCUGAUGCAGCAACGCCGCGUGCGGGAUGACGGCCUUCGGGUUGUAAACCGCUUUCGCCUGUGACGAAGCGUGAGUGACGGUAAUGGGUAAAGAAGCACCGGCUAACUACGUG